rnacentral:lncRNA from 1 species
UGGAGACCAGCUGUGCCAGUUGCUGUAUUGGAAAAAAUGCCUGCUGUGAAUCUAGUCUGCAUGUGUUGCUUAAUUUCCUGAAUUAUCAUAUUCCCCUAAUCAGUUUCUGAGUUAAGGACCAAAAUUGAGGAUCCAGGGAAUAUGUCAUCAUGGGUAUUCCACACCCAUAUUCCCCUUCUCCAUUUCCCACUUUACAUAUGAAGAACCUGAGAUAUCUGAAAACCUCCUCCUAACAACAAGUAUUUGUAUGAAAAAAAUUAGGAACUUGAUAUUUAGCUUGUUGAAGUCUGGUGGGAAAUGCAAGAAGAUGAAGCAAUAUCUCACAGCUGUGGAAAGAGGAUCACAGGUGUACCUACGUGAUGUCUCAACCUUUUAAAUAAGAAAAAUAAUAUGCUGUGCAUGAAAUAUUGGAACUUGAAUAUUACAGGUAAUUAAAUGUAUAUGUGCGUCUGUUCAUUCAAAAUUUGAUGUAAUUUGUUUUGUAUUUCCAUUUGCUUAAAACAGUUCCUGCUUUCUGUAUGUACUCCUUUAAAACGUGU